rnacentral:rRNA from 1 species
CAAAAACAUUUCUAUUAGUAGUUCAUUAAUAGUAAAAUCUGCUCAAUGAAAUUAUUAAAUAGCCGCAAUUGUGCUAAGGUAGCAUAAUCAUUUGUCUUUUAAUUAAAGACUAGAACAAAAGAUUUAACAUUUAAAAUUAUUUCUUUAAUUUAAACAUUUAAAUUACUUUAAAAGUAAAAAAACUUUUAUAAAAAAGAAAGACGAUAAGACCCUAUUGAAUUUUACUUUAGUUUAACUGGGGCAGUUAAUUAAUUAAUAUUUUAAUAAAAAUCUUUCCUAAACUGAUCUAAUAAAAUUAAUUAAAUGACCAAAUUACCGUAGGGAUAACAGCGUAAUAAAAUUUUAAAGAUCUUAUUAAAAAUAAUGAUUGCGACCUCGAUGUUGAUUUAAUAUUCUUAUUAACGCAAUAGUAGAUAAAGAAAGUCUGUUCGACUUUUAAAAAAUUAC